rnacentral:rRNA from 1 species
AGUGAACGCUGGCGGUAGGCCUAACACAUGCAAGUCGAACGGCAGCACAGUAAGAGCUUGCUCUUACGGGUGACGAGUGGCGGACGGGUGAGGAAUACAUCGGAAUCUACUUUUUCGUGGGGGAUAACGUAGGGAAACUUACGCUAAUACCGCAUACGACCUACGGGUGAAAGCAGGGGAUCUUCGGACCUUGCGCGAUUGAAUGAGCCGAUGUCGGAUUAGCUAGUUGGCGGGGUAAAGGCCCACCAAGGCGACGAUCCGUAGCUGGUCUGAGAGGAUGAUCAGCCACACUGGAACUGAGACACGGUCCAGACCCCUACGGGAGGCAGCAGUGGGGAAUAUUGGACAAUGGGCGCAAGCCUGAUCCAGCCAUACCGCGUGGGUGAAGAAGGCCUUCGGGUUGUAAAGCCCUUUUGUUGGGAAAGAAAAGCAGCAGGUUAAUACCCCGCUGUUCUGACGGUACCCAAAGAAUAAGCACCGGCUAACUUCGUG